CUCAGGAUGAACGCUAGCUACAGGCUUAACACAUGCAAGUCGAGGGGCAUCAGGAAGAAAGCUUGCUUUCUUUGCUGGCGACCGGCGCACGGGUGAGUAACACGUAUCCAACCUGCCCUUUACUCGGGGAUAGCCUUUCGAAAGAAAGAUUAAUACCCGAUGGCAUAAUGAUUCCGCAUGGUUUCAUUAUUAAAGGAUUCCGGUAAAGGAUGGGGAUGCGUUCCAUUAGGUUGUUGGUGAGGUAACGGCUCACCAAGCCUUCGAUGGAUAGGGGUUCUGAGAGGAAGGUCCCCCACAUUGGAACUGAGACACGGUCCAAACUCCUACGGGAGGCAGCAGUGAGGAAUAUUGGUCAAUGGGCGCUAGCCUGAACCAGCCAAGUAGCGUGAAGGAUGAAGGCUCUAUGGGUCGUAAAUUUCUUUUAUAUAAGAAUAAAGUGCAGUAUGUAUACUGUUUUGUAUGUAUUAUAUGAAUAAGGAUCGGCUAACUCCGUGCCAGCAGCCGCGGUAAUACGGAGGAUCCGAGCGUUAUCCGGAUUUAUUGGGUUUAAAGGGAGCGUAGGUGGACUGGUAAGUCAGUUGUGAAAGUUUGCGGCUCAACCGUAAAAUUGCAGUUGAUACUGUCAGUCUUGAGUACAGUAGAGGUGGGCGGAAUUCGUGGUGUAGCGGUGAAAUGCUUAGAUAUCACGAAGAACUCCGAUUGCGAAGGCAGCUCACUGGACUGCAACUGACACUGAUGCUCGAAAGUGUGGGUAUCAAACAGGAUUAGAUACCCUGGUAGUCCACACAGUAAACGAUGAAUACUCGCUGUUUGCGAUAUACAGUAAGCGGCCAAGCGAAAGCAUUAAGUAUUCCACCUGGGGAGUACGCCGGCAACGGUGAAACUCAAAGGAAUUGACGGGGGCCCGCACAAGCGGAGGAACAUGUGGUUUAAUUCGAUGAUACGCGAGGAACCUUACCCGGGCUUAAAUUGCAGUGGAAUGAUGUGGAAACAUGUCAGUGAGCAAUCACCGCUGUGAAGGUGCUGCAUGGUUGUCGUCAGCUCGUGCCGUGAGGUGUCGGCUUAAGUGCCAUAACGAGCGCAACCCUUAUCUUUAGUUACUAACAGGUUAUGCUGAGGACUCUAGAGAGACUGCCGUCGUAAGAUGUGAGGAAGGUGGGGAUGACGUCAAAUCAGCACGGCCCUUACGUCCGGGGCUACACACGUGUUACAAUGGGGGGUACAGAAGGCAGCUAGCGGGUGACCGUAUGCUAAUCCCAAAAGCCUCUCUCAGUUCGGAUCGAAGUCUGCAACCCGACUUCGUGAAGCUGGAUUCGCUAGUAAUCGCGCAUCAGCCACGGCGCGGUGAAUACGUUCCCGGGCCUUGUACACACCGCCCGUCAAGCCAUGGGAGCCGGGGGUACCUGAAGUACGUAACCGCAAGGAUCGUCCUAGGGUAAAACUGGUGACUGGGGCUAA
rnacentral:rRNA from 1 species